UACGUAGGGUCCGAGCGUUGUCCGGAGUUACUGGGCGUAAAGCGCGCGCAGGCGGCGGUGCUGGCCCGGCGUGAAAGCCCCCGGCUCAACCGGGGAGGGUCGUCGGGGACCGCACCGCUUGAGGGCGGUAGGGGCUGGUGGAAUGCCUGGUGUAGUGGUGAAAUGCGUAGAGAUCAGGCGGAACGCCCGUGGCGAAGGCGGCCAGCUGGGCCGUCCCUGACGCUGAGGCGCGAAGGCGUGGGGAGCGAACGGG
rnacentral:rRNA from 1 species